rnacentral:lncRNA from 1 species
AAUUUUUUGGCUGCUGCCCUGUCGCAUAUGAUCUCCAACCCAGGGAUCAGAACUGAGCCGCAGUUGUGACCUAUGCUGUAGCUGUGGCAACACCUGAUUCUUAUCCCACUGUGCCAGGCUAGGGAUGGAACCAUUGUCCUAGCACUCCAGAGAUGCCACUGCCAAUCUUGUUGUGCCACAGAGGGAACUCCAAAGGCUGUUUCUUGCUCCUUCUAUUCUGGGCAGUUAAUCCAAAUAUGGAACUCAACCCUGAGUUUUCCACCAAAAGCACACUCAUGUGUGAGGUAGUAUACACAGCUAAAAUGGAAAUCAUAUAAAACUCCACAUUAGAUAUACCUGGCCUAAAUGUCCUUAAACAAUUUUUGCAUCUCCAUUCUCCUGCUUCAUUGCUUAGACCUCUGCUUUCUACCUUUUAUUUCCUGGCCAAUCUCUCUUCUACCAGAUCAAAAAAAAAAAAAAAAAGAAAAGAAAAAAGAAAAAAAUUUCCCACUCUCUUAUACAAAGAAAUUUAGCUCUUUCUAGUUCAUACCCCUCCAUUUAAGAUUUGGUAUCAUUUAAAAAUCUAAACUCAACCAAGUCCUCACCCCUCCAAAAAAAAAUCAUUUUACAUACACCUGUCGUAUUUGUUGCAGUAACAAACAACUUGAAAUCUCUAUAGGUUCCCAAAACAAGCAUUUAUUUAUUGUUCAUGGUAUCCGUCAAUAACUGCAACUCUGUCCUAUGGAUCUUCUCAUUCUGGGAACCAUGCUGAAGAAGGACCAUGGUAGAUAAAAAAGCAAACCAGUUGACAGAAACACACUGCCUCUUAAGUCUCUACUUAGAACUAAAACAUUAUCAGAGCUCCUGUUGCAACUCAGCAGAAACGAAUAUGACUAGCAUCCAUGAAGACUCAGGCUGGAUCCGUGGCCUUGCUCAGUAGGUUAAGGAUCUGGCAUUGCCAUGAGCUGUGGUGUAGGUUGCAGACUCGGCUUGGAUCCUGCAUUGCUGUGGCUCUGGUAUAGGCCAGGGGCGACAGCUCCAAUUCAACCCCUACCCUGGGAACCUCCAUAUGCCAUUCGUAUGGCCCUAAAAAGACAAAACAAAACAAAACAAAACAAAACAAAAACUAAUACUUUGUCACUUCCACUCAUCUUCCAUUGACCCAUGUCACAUGGCUGACUCAGAAAAUGAAAUGGGAAAGUAAACAUCUGUUCUCUUCCAGAGAAGAGAAUAGUUGGAAAUAUUAAUACAACUUGUCAUAAUCUAAGAAGAGUCACCCUCCUUAUAAUUAAUCAUAAACUGCAGCUUUAUCCCUUCCCUUAUACUUGAUUCAUGAUUAGGAUGGGUAUGUAGUAGUGGUUUUGAAAGUUAUCAGUUGUGAGUGUGGGAGGGUGCCUAUCAGAAAAAUCUAAAGAUCUUCUCUAAUAUGUGUGACCUCCCUACCCUAACCUCCACCACCAUUCUGAUUUGUCCCUGGGAGCAGGAGCAGGUAUGUACACUUUGCAAAGAAUCCUCAAGUGGUUAUAUACAUAUUUCUUUUUAGGGCCAUACCAGCGGCAUAUGGAGGUUCCCAAGUUAGGGGUUGAAUUGGAGCUAUGUAGCUAGCCAACACCACGGCCACAGCAACACCAGAUCCAAGCUGCAUCUGUGACCUACACCACAGCUCAUGGCAACGCUGGAUCCUUAACCCACUGGUCGAGGCCAGGGAUCAUACCCUCAUGGAUACUAGUCAGAUUCGUUUCCACUGAGCCACGACAGGAACUCCAAGUGAUUUUGAUACUUUCUACCUUCAACGCUUUUGAGAACCACUGGAAAAUGGGUUUGGGGGGAAUGCUCUUGUCAUUUUUUGUCCCUGCCAUUCCUGACACUUUAAGUACAAGCCAUCCAAUUAUCCAUGUUGCAGCAAGCACAUAACAGACACAAACAGGGAAUAACAUCUGCCUCUGAUAUUUGGCCAGGACUCUCUUUCUGCCAAGAGAAGUUUUUUACAUUGCAAGGGGUAUAGAGAUUUGCUACUUUAAAUAAAGGAACUAUUGGUGAAGUUUCUGUGGGAAUAUAUUUUGAAAGUUUUCAACCAAGAAGAGUGAAACAUAAUUUUAGAUUGAGCUAAAUUGGUUGGUGUGGAUGCACCUACCAGAGGUGCCACAUGCAAAGGGCUGGCUCAAGCAGUUGGGUGUCUAACUGGGGCUGGCUGAAUAAGGCAAAUCAGUCUCUGACACUGGCCCUCAUUAAAGAAAGUGAAGAUGCCAAAAAUCCCUUGGCAUAUAUACAGGAAGGAAAUCAAAGACUCCUUGAGAUAGGAAUGCUGGAGUAGGUCCAUUGUGAGUGUCCUGCUUGUAUAUCCAUGACUGUUGCCCCAGAAAGGACUGGAAUGACUAUUCCUUUCCUUAAGACCUUGAGAUCUGCUCUGCUGAGGGGAAUUUCAGCAUCUUUUUUAAAAAGUGCUUCACUAUUAUCUGAAUGUUGGAAACUGCUGGUGGGAAAAGUUGCAAUUAAAAUGUGUCCCCCAGUUGCAACUAGGAGAGGCGAAUCUUGGGGUUACAGAAGUGAGAUAGCCUACCUCAGUGAUCAGAGGCAAGUUGUGCGUGAUUUUAAUAAGCCAGAACCUUAGCUUGGUAAUCAGAUAUCUCAGAGAACCCUGGCCAUGUCUAUUUGAGCAGAGAAUUACCAUUAAUAUCUUACUUGAUUUGUGCAAGGAGGGUUAAAUAAUUGCUAAGCUAAUACAAAAGAGUCAUGACUCCUCAUCCAGUUCCACAACUGGAUCCAUAGAACUUUGGCACCUUGCUUAAAGGGGAGACUAGGUACCAUGUUAUAACUGCUAGAGUGAAUUCUUUGACUAUUACUCCCAGAUAUUAUUCUUUUUUGGCCACGUCCAUGGCAUGUGGAAGUUUCCAGGCCAGAGAUCAAACCUGCACCAUGGCAGUGACAAUGCCAGGUCCUUAACUUACUAAGCCACUGGGGAACUCCUACUCCAAGACAUUCUUAAUGGCCAUUUAAUAGGAUAACUGUGUCUAGAAUGAGAGAAAUAAUUAAAGCUUUUUUGGAAACUGUUAGAAACUUAUUUGAGCUAAUAGCAACUUCUGGUAUACAGAAAUCCAUUGAAACCUACCUAUCAGAAAAAAGACUUACCUCGGUCAGGUAAAAAAAAAAAAUGAAGUGUGACCCAGUCAAACUCUAAACCGUUCAUUCUGUGGAUUUUUUUUUUUCCAUUUCCUGUGUUGAAUAGAAUAUCCUCGGCAACCAGUAAAAAUUCCCAGAUUUUUUUCCCCUGGACUACUGUGGUUGGAAGAACCGAGUGGAAGACACUGAUCUUUCUUCUCCAUUUUAAAGUAGUAAUCAUUUCCUGGUGGCCUGGCAAUUAAGGAUUCACCACAGUCACUGCUGUGUUCAGAUCACUGCUGUGGCGCAGGUUUGAUCUCUAGCCUGGGAAUGUCUGUAUGCCACAGGCACAGUUAAAAAAAAAAAAAAGUAUAUUAAAGACAAUGCUGGAGUUCCCGUCGUGGUGCAGUGGUUAACGAAUCCGACUGGGAACCAUGAGGUUGAGGGUUCGGUCCCUGCCCUUGCUCAGUGGGUUAACUAUCCGGCAUUGCCAUGAGCUGUGGUGUAGGUUGCAGACGCGGCUCGGAUCCCGCGUUGCUGUGGCUCUAGCGUAGGCCAGGGGCUACAGCUCCGAUUCGACCCCUAGCCUGGGAACCUCCAUAUGCCAUAG